GCUUGCAGUAAAAGGGGAAAGGUUGUAGCUCUAUUUUUUUAUGUAUUUGUAUUGCAGAUAUAAUGGAUGCAUUCUGUAUUCUUUUAUAAUUUCCUUUUUCGUUCUCAGUUUUUAGCUAAUCACUGUGCCUUUGUUGCAAUGAUGUUAUGGCAUACUUCUGCGUGUUAAAUUCAAUAUACAUCAUCUAAAGAUGCAACAGUAGUGUAAUCUGUGUUGCUCUAAAAAGUUUCUUGUUAAGAUCUUUACCUUUCUUAUUAACCAUGGCUAGUGGAAUUAAAUACCUAUAGAAUCUAGUCCUUUACCA
rnacentral:misc_RNA from 1 species